rnacentral:RNase_P_RNA from 1 species
UGAUCGCGGAUGGCAAGCCGAAAGGUGCCGUACGAGGAAAGUCCGGGCUUCACAGGGCAGGAUGCCGGAUAACGUCCGGUGGAGGCGACUCUAAGGAUAGUGCAACAGAAAUGUACCGCCCUUUUUCGAAGGGUAAGGGUGGAAGGGCAGUGUAAGAGACUACCGUCUCCCUGGUAACAGGGAGGGCAUAUGUAAACCCCAUCCGAAGCAAGACCGAAUAAAAGCAUAUGGCGGCCCGUCAGCUUUAGGUAGGUCGCUUGAGUACAGCGGUAACGCUGUGCCUAGAUAGAUGAUCAUUCACGACAUAACCCGGCUUAUCGUUCUGCUU